rnacentral:tRNA from 1 species
GCGGAUGUGGCGGAACUGGCAGACGCGCUGGAUUUAGGAUCCAGUGGGCAACCGUGGGGGUUCGACUCCCUCCAUCCGCA